UAGGUUAUAUAUAGUAUGACUGUUUUGGUAUAAUUGUUGUUUCUGUCUGUGAUUAAAGGAGUUUAUAUCUAGAUGUUAUGUCAUAAAAUAUUCAUUUUUA